rfam:Phaethon lepturus contig119636, whole genome shotgun sequence.
UCAUUGGUUUUUCUAAAAACCAGCAACAUUUAAUGUGAAAUGUUAU